GUGUCAGCAGCCGCGGUAAGACAGAGGGUGCAAACGUUGCUCGGAAUCACUGGGCAUAAAGCGCACGUAGGCAGUCGUGUAAGUGCGGUGUGAAAUCCCCCGGCCCAACCGGGGAACUGCUCCGCAUACUGCACGGCUAGAGCUUGGGAGGGGAGAGUGGAACUCCUGGUGGAGCGGUGGAAUGCGUAGAUAUCAGGAGGAACGCCGGAGGUGAAGACGACUCUCUGGCCCAAUGCUGACGCUAAGGUGCGAAAGCUAGGGGAGCAAACGGGAUUAGAAACCCUCGUAGUCC
rnacentral:rRNA from 1 species